CUUGUCCAGAUUUUGGUGUCAACAGAACUCUAGUGGCAUGCUUAACACAUGCAAGUCAAAUGGGAAGCGGUAUUUCCAGUGGCGAAUGGGUGAGUAACACGUAAGAACCUACCCUUGGGAGGGGAACAACAACGGGAAACGGUUUCUAAUACCUCGUAGGCUGAGGAGCAAAAGGAGAAAUCCGCCUAAGGUGGGACUCGCAUCUGAUUAGCUAGUUGGUGAGGCAAUAGCUUACCAAGACGAUGAUCAAUAGCUGGUCUGAGAGGAUGAUCAGCCACACCGGGACCGAGACACGGCCCAGACCCCUACCGGAGGCAGCAAUGGGGAAUUUUCCGCAAUGGGCGAAAGCCUGACGACGGAGCAAUGCCACGUGGAGGUGGAAGGCCUACGGGUCAUCAACUUCAUUUCUUGGAGAGGAAACAAUGACGGUAUCUGAGGAAUAAGCAUUGGCUAACUCUGUGCCAGCAACCGCGGUAAGACAGAGGAUGCAAACGUUAUUCGAAAUGAUUGGGCGUAAACUGUCUGUAGGUGGCUUUUCAAAUAUGCCAUCAAAUCCCAGGGCUCAACCCUGGACAGGCAGUGGAAACUACCAAGCUUGAGUACUGUAGGGGCAGAGGGAAUUUUUGGUGGAGCAGUAAAAUGCAUUGAGAUCAGAAAGAACACCAAUAGUGAAAGCACUCUGCUGGGCCGACACUGACACUGAGAGACGAAAGCUAGGGGAGCAAAUGGGAUUAGAGACCCUAGUAGUCCUAGCCGUAAACGAUGGAUACUAGGUGUUGUGCAACUCGACCUGUGCAACGUUGUAGCUAACGCGUUAAGUAUCUCGCCUAGGGAGUAUGUUUGCAAGAAUGAAACUCAAAGGAAUUGAUGGGGCCCACACAAGUGAUGGAGCAUGUGGUUUGAUUCGAUGCAAAGCAAAGAACCUUACCAAGGCUUGACAUGCUACAAAUCCUCUUGAAAGAGAGGGGUGCCCUCGGGAAUACGGACACAAGUGGUGCAUGGCUUUCAUCAGCUUGUGCCAUAAGGUGUUGGGUUAAGUCUCACAACAAACGCAACACUCGUGUUUAGUUGCCACUAUGAGUUUGGAACCCUAAACAGACCGCCAGUGUUAAGCCGGAGGAAGGAAAGGAUAAGGCCAAGUCAUCAUGCCUCUUAUGCCCUAGGUGACACUCAUGCUACAAUGGGCAGGACAAAGGGUCGCGAUCUCACGAGGGUGAGCAAACUCCAAAAACCCGUCCUUAGUUCGGAUUGCAGGCUGCAACUCGACUGCGUGAAGCAGGAAUCGCUAGUAAUCGCGUGGUCAGCCAUACGGCGGUGAAUCCUUUCCCAGGCCUUGUACACACCGCCCGUCACAUUAUAGGAGCUGGCUAGGUUUGAAGUCAUUACCCCUAACCAUAAGGAGGGAGAUGCCUAAGGCUAGGCUUGCGACUGGAGUGAAAUCAUAACAAGGUAGCCGUACUGGAAGGUGUGGCUGCAUGGAUCACCUCUUUA
rfam:Dichanthelium oligosanthes cultivar Kellogg 1175 unplaced genomic scaffold Do_version_2_scaffold10511, whole genome shotgun sequence.